rnacentral:rRNA from 1 species
UACAGAGGUCUCAAGCGUUGUUCGGAUUCAUUGGGCGUAAAGGGCGCGUAGGUGGCGCGGGAAGUCUUCGGUGAAAGCUCAGGGCUCAACCCUGAGUCGGCCGGCGAUACUCCCGUGCUUGAGCUCACUGGAGGCAGAUGGAACUCCGGGUGUAGCGGUGGAAUGCGUAGAGAUCCGGAAGAACACCGGUGGCGAAGGCGGUCUGCUGGGGUGAUGCUGACACUGAUGCGCGACAGCGUGGGGAGCAAACAGG